AGUGUGCCUUGGAUGAGAUGAGGAGAAGGCAGAAGAGGGACUGUAUGAAGAGUAUGCUGGUGUGAGAAGGUUAAAGAUCUUGUCACAGCUUGAUAGUCUGGAGAGUGCUGUGAUAAAGGCAGAGCCAUUUAUGACUAAACUACUUAAUGAAGAAAUUCCUAAUUAUGUCAACUUGAGUGAAAAUGAAGACACAUCCAUUGAGUAGAUUUGCUCAAUUGAUCUCAGAGUUGCUUCUGUAAGUGCUGUACCACAGAUUGCCUGUGGUCCAGUAAAUUUGCUGUUUGAAGAUUCCAUCACAAGGAAUGACCAC